GUGAGAGUUUAUUAAAAAGUUUUAGAGCAGGAACAAAAGGAAGUACACUACACUUGGGUCAGGCAGGCAACUUGAGAGAUCUAAGUGCCCUGCCUGACCCUUAACUUGGGGUUUUAUGUAUUUGGCAUAGUUCUGGGAUUUACGUCUCAUCUCCCCUGAUUCUUCCCUUGCAGCAGGCUGUCCGCGUAUGUGGUGACCUGCCAGCACUUGGAAGGGGUCGCAUGCACAGUGUGAUUACUGAAGUUGCGCGCAUGCUCACUUGAGGCAUUUUUCCCCUUACCAGUCGUGCGUUCCCAGAGGAAGGUAGGUCAUAUACUGGUUAAAUUCCGCCAUUUUGCCUCUUGGUGCGCAUGCUCCAGGCUGCUUGCCCAGCUCCUGAGAUCUUAUCGGGAAGCGGCUGAUCACCAGAUCAGGGUGUUUUGUAUCUAUUGAGAGACUGUCCUUGCUUGGAGCUGGCUGCAACCAAUUAUUAUUUUACAGAGACAGUUUAACAACCACCUGACCAUCACCUGAUGGUAGCCUGACAUUCCUGUGGGGGCCCUCACCUGUCCUGCUCAUGUUUGCCUAGCUCCCUACUCUAACAUUUCCACUCUGUGGACCCCAGGUUGAGAUCUUCUGCAGGGAAGACUGUCCUCAAAUAGCCUGCUGGGGAGACAUCUCCUUCCCGUUUACCUUUCCAUUUGCCCUUGCGGUGUUAGGCAAAGGCUGAAGCUGGCCUCUGUGGCAGAGGGUUUCUUCCCAACACGCCAAUGACGCUGGUGGAGAGUCUUAAAAACAGCUGUGCUGGGGAGAGUUCUUGGUGUGUACCUUUCAGAGACCUCCUCCUUAAGACUCUCAAAGACUGAGUCAGGCCAGUGGGAGCCUGGCAGCAAUUCUUAGGGGACAGUGACAGCUUUUUGAGGAGGACUAAUUGGCUUCUAGGGCUGGAGGCCACUUGGGUCUGACAGACUGCCCUGCUGCCAUCCCUCCAGGGCACCCCCCACUCCCUUGCCUCAGGGCCUUCCUGCACUUCUUCCUUUUGUCCUCAAUGUUCUUCACCCCACCUUUUCCACUGGUACCCUCUGCCUAUGGUCAAGGCUUUGGUGAGACCCACUUUCCUCUUAGACCUUCCUGGAUCCCCCAAAGUCUGUGUUGGAAGCCCCUCCCAUGUGCCCUUGUUUGAGCUUUUAAUUUUCCACCAUGACGCUUGUCACACUGCUUUGUAAUUGGCUCUCUGUUAGUCUGCAUCUCUACUGGGUUGUACCUUCCAGGAGGACAGCUGCCAUGUGACUCUUGUAAUCUUCCCACCGCCAACACCCAGCACAGCGUCAGGAACACAGAGCAUGAUGAGCACAAGCUUGUUGAGCAAACAGACAAAUAACUGGAUGCUUCUGUGCAGAGUUUCUCAACCUGGCCAUUAUUGGCAUUUGGGACUUGAUCAUGCUUGGUCGUGGGAGACGGUUCUGUGCCUGUAGGAUGUUUAGGAGCAUGCUUGGUUUCUACCCACCAGAUGCCGGGAGCACACCCACCCAGCUGUGACAACCAAAAAUGUCUCCAGACACCAUUCCAAAACCAGCGGGAGACAAAAUCGCCCGACAGUCGUUGCUUUAGUGAGUGAAUGUUGACCUAAGCGUCACUUCGCCUGUCUUGAGUCUAGGUCGGGGAGUGGGUUCAGUUAGCCAAUCAGAGAACGCUGAUGGGGCGACCAGUAUAUGCUCAUGAAAUGGGUGGCUGACCUCUUGGGGUCAGAAGAGGGAAAAGUUUUACUGUGUGUUGGCUAAGGACCAUUUUAAGUCCUUCAGUGACCGAUUACCACAUGAGAACACAAGAGGGCGCUCUAACUAAUGAGUUCCGCGGCCGAGAAAACUCCUGGAGUGGGUGCUCCUGGGAUGCUUCAGGUUUAGACACCGGGGUUACGGCAGCUGCCGAGGAAGGCUAAAGCCAGCGUCCUGGAUUCAGACAGACCUUUUAGCCAUUAAAUCCACUAAGAAAGAUCCCUGCGCAUGAAGUUUCCUCCUCGGAAAUAUAGGCAGAAGGGAAAGUAAUUUUAAACUCAUGUGUGCUCCACAGGCCGGGGGCGGUGGCUCAUGCCUGCAAUCCCAGCACUUUGCGAGGCCAAGGAGGGAGGAUCACUUGAGCCCAGAAGUUCGAGACCAGCCUGGGCACCAUGGUGAAACCUCAUCUCUGCAAAAAAAAAAUUAAAAAUUAGCCAGCUAUGGCGGCUCACGCCUCUGGUCCCAGCUACCCAGGAAGCUGAGAUGGGAGGAUCGCUUGAGCCCAGGGGUUCGAGGCUGCGGUGAGCCAUUGUUGUGCCACUGCACUCCAGCCUGGGCAACAGAGCAAGCCCCUGUCUCAACAAAACAAAACAAAACAAAAAAUUCAGUCGUGCUGCAUAAGUAAGGCACCAGGAGUAGGAAUAGGGUCUUUGCAGCUCCCGUGGCAAUUGCCCUUCUCUGGUGGUGGCAAGGGACUAAGGAACUCCCUGGACACAGGGGAUCUGGCUGUCCCCAGAUCAUCAACAGAGACAUGAAGGUCGUUAGAGGUCGUCUGAUCCUUUGACCUCAAUCUGAGCCCACCACUCAGAAAACCUGGAAAUUGUAUGACAUUUUCGUGAUACAACUCGGUGUGUGUGUGUUGGGGAAAGGAACCAACAGCUUUCAUCAUAUUGUCAAAAGAGUCUAGGCUGGGCAUGGUGGCUCACGCCUGCAAUCCCAACCCAAAGGCCUGUGGAGCACACAUGAGGACAAGGCGGGCAGAUCACCAAAGGUCAGGCAUUCGAGAUCAGCCUGGCCAACGUGGUGAAACCCCAUCUCUACUAAAAAUACAAAAAUUAGCCAGGCGUGGUGACAUGUGCCUGUAAUCCCAGCUACUCGGGAGGCUGAGACAGGAGAACUGCUUGAACCCAGGAGGCGGAGGUUGCAGUGAGCAGAGGUUGCGCCGCUGCAGUCCAGCCCGGGCAACAAGAGCGAAUCUCCGUCUCAAAACAACAAAACAAAAACAUAGACCUGCUCGGUUCUCUCUGUGACUUCAGAGGCCCAAGGAGUCCUCAGCACUAUAGAUGCAUGUGGCCCCUCAGAAGACAACAUUUCACAGAUCUGCAAAGAGCAAAGGUCAAAUUUAUUUAAUACAACAUCCACGAGGGUCCCUGCAGCUGUGUCACUGAGGCAAACAGGAAAAGUGAUUUUGGCUAGGCGUGGUUCUCAUCUGUGAAAUUCCACAGCGCAAUGACAGCAGCCUCUCUCCCACCCACUCAAGACACUGUCAGGAAUGUCUUAAGACCUCAGGAGACCACUUCUUUAGCAAGCAAUUUUGUUUUUUUUUUCAAUUAAGAAUAAUAUUUGCUGAUGGCACCAUCUUCCUGUCUUUCAGCCUUCAGCAUGGUAGAGGAAAAGAGAAAGAGUGUAGACAAAAACAGUUGAAGAACAUCUGUGCUUGUUCCACCUUCAUUUUCUGUUUUGUGCGUUGCCUGAAUGAACGGUGUCUUCAGGUUGGUAUUUCACAGGCGGUGCUCCCAAGUAGUCUGGUUUUCCCAUUUGUGGAGGGCGAGGUCAUAGAGGGGACAGGGGGAGGCUGUCUGGUCAGCACUGUGUAUUUCCAAAGAACAAGGACUAGCCAAAACUACAAGCCUUUGAAGGACCAAAGGAAAAGAGAAAAAACCAGCCUCUAACCAGGCCAUGCGCUAGAAAUGAUUGAGUAUAAAAAAGAAAAUUGGUUUCUGUGUAUGAGGGUGCAUGGAAAAGGUCUUUAUCUCUGCACAAAACAAAAUAUUCAAGUUUCAGAAUAUCCCAAUGGCCUUGCCCUGGAUCUCCUCUUGUGCUCUUCCAAUUUCCAAGGAUGUUCCAACUUGGUGGAAGGAGGGUAUGUGGGAAAUUCAACAGCCCCUCUGUAUCUCUUUCUACCCAACAUUAACUUAGCAGGAUGGAUUUAAGAACCGGCAGCUUAGCCUGAGGAAUUGCUGUGUUCUGUGGGAGCAGGGCAGGUUCAUAAAUAAGUGCACAGAGGUCUUGAAAUACAGGGAUUAUCUGUUCUUCUCGGAACAUGGAUGUCCUUCCAGGGAUGUGCAUCUGGCCUUGCUGUCUAAGUUCCAUCAAGGGAGCCUUCCGUUCUCUGUAGCGACAAGAAACAAGGCAAGUUAUGAUCACACCUCUCAAGAUUGAAGAUUGCCCUGGUGGAGAGAAAUGCAAAAUGACAGCACUUCUCAAAGAAAAUGCAAAGCAGGGCUGUCACACACUGGUCCCCCACCCUGCAGGGUUCUCUCUGUGACUUCAGAGGCCCAAGGAGUCCUCAGCACUACAGAUACACGUGGCCCCUCAGAAGACAACAUUUCACAGAUCUGCAAAGAAUAAAGGUCAAAUUUACUUAAUACAACACCCACCAGGGUUCCUGCAGCUGUGUCACUGAGGCAAACAGGGAAAGUAAUUUUGGUUAGGUGUGGUUCUCACCUCUGAAAUUCCACAGCACAAUGACUGCAGCCUCUCUCCCACCCACUCAAGACAUUGUCAGGAACGUCUUAAGACCUCAGGAGACCACUUCUUUAGCAAGCAAUUUUUUUUAGAUGGAUUCUCACUCUGUCACUCAGGCUGGAGUGCAGUGGCGCGGUCUCUGCUCACUACACCCUCCCUCUCCUGGCUCCUGCCCGUAUGUAUUUCUCCUUCUCUCCAUGCCUGCUCUGUAGGGACCAUAGCCUCUGUCCCUGCAUACAUGUUGGACAUCAAUCACAUCAGUCCACCAAGUAACUUCAUCAAGCACCCAUGUACGCCCAGCACAGCGUCCCAAGGGUGCCCCACUUACCCACAGAAGAAGAAAGGCAACUUUGUAAGAGAUCUGACUUCUAGCUCCAGUUCUGUCUCUAGCUAACGUGAGAUGUACCCGUUUGAGGCCUGUUUUUUAAUUUUGAAAAUGAAGGACUGAACUUAGAUGGUCCAACUGAAAUGUUUUAAAAUGAUAUGAUUCUACCUUAAAAAGAGAAUGAAAUUCUGAUAUAUUUUCAACACAGGAAAACCUUGAAAACGUUAUGCUAAAUGAAAUAAGGCAGACAUGAAAGGACAAAUAUAUGAUUCCACUUAUGUGAUGUACCUCAAAUAGUCAAAUUCAUAGAGACAGAAAGUAGACAGUGGUUGCUAGGGGUUGCUGGAGGGGCAAUGGGGAGUUAGUGUUUAAUGGGUACAGUGUUUCAGUGGCUGCUCUGCCUAUGGAGUAGCCAUUCUUUUGUUUCUUUACUUCUCUAAUAAACUUGCUUUCACUUAAAAAGAAAAAGCUCUGGAGAUGGAUAGUGGUGGUGGUUGCACAGCAAUGUGAACGGACCUAAUGCAACUGAAUUAUACACUUUAAAAUGGUUAAGUAUACACUGGAAAAUGGUGAAUUUGCCGGGCGGGCGCAGUGGCUCACGCCUGUAAUCCCAACACUUUGGGAGGCCGAGGCGGGUG
rnacentral:lncRNA from 1 species